rnacentral:rRNA from 1 species
AGCAAUCCAUGAGUAGAGUGGCAAACGGGUGAGUAACGCGUGGGCGACCUACCUCAGAGUGGGGGAUAACCUUCCGAAAGGAGGGCUAAUACCGCAUGACAUACCGUGUUUGGAUACACGGAUAUCAAAGCCGGGGAUCGCAAGACCUGGCGCUUGGAGAGGGGCCCGCGUCCGAUUAGCUAGUUGGUGAGGUAACGGCUCACCAAGGCUCCGAUCGGUAUCCGGCCUGAGAGGGCGGACGGACACACUGGAACUGAGACACGGUCCAGACUCCUACGGGAGGCAGCAGUGGGGAAUUGUUCACAAUGGGCGCAAGCCUGAUGACGCAACGCCGCGUGGAGGAUGAAGACUUUCGGGUCGUAAACUCCUUUCGACCGAGAUGAAUUUCCGCCGACCUAACACGUCGGCGGAGUGACAGUAUCGAGGGAAGAAGCCCCGGCUAACUCCGUGCCAGCAGCCGCGGUAAUACGGGGGGGGCAAGCGUUGUUCGGAAUUACUGGGCGUAAAGGGUUCGUAGGUGGCUUGCUAAGUCAGACGUGAAAUCCCUCAGCUUAACUGGGGAACUGCGUCUGAUACUGGCGAGCUUGAGUGCAGGAGAGGAACGCGGAAUUCCAGGUGUAGCGGUGAAAUGCGUAGAUAUCUGGAGGAACACCGGUGGCGAAGGCGGCGUUCUGGACUGCAACUGACACUGAUGAACGAAAGCCAGGGGAGCAAACGGGAUUAGAUACCCCGGUAGUCCUGGCCCUAAACGAUGAAUGCUUGGUGUGGCGGGUAUCGAUCCCUGCCGUGCCGAAGUUAACGCGUUAAGCAUUCCGCCUGGGGAGUACGGUCGCAAGGCUG